UACGUAGGGUGCGAGCGUUGUCCGGAAUUAUUGGGCGUAAAGGGCUCGUAGGCGGUUUGUCACGUCGGGAGUGAAAACUCGGGGCUCAACCCCGAGCCUGCUUCCGAUACGGGCAGACUAGAGGUAUGCAGGGGAGAAUGGAAUUCCUGGUGUAGCGGUGAAAAUGCGCAGAUAUCAGGAGGAACACCAGUGGCGAAGGCGGCUCACUGGUCCGGUACUGACGCUGAGGUGCGAAAGCGUGGGGAGCAAACAGG
rnacentral:rRNA from 1 species